UUUUCAUAUUUGGAUGCCUUUUAUUUCUUUUUCUUGCCUGAAUACUUUGACUAGGAUUUCCAGGACUGUGUUGAACAGGAGUUGGUAAUACCGAGUAGGCACCCUUGUCUGAUUCCUGAUCUUGGAGGAGAAGCUUUCAGUCUUUCACUAUUGAGUAUGAUGUUAGCUAUGGACUCGUCAUAUGUGGACUUUAUUAUGUUAAAGUAUGCCCCAGAUCAAGUAAAUCAGAAUUAGUUUAGGGUGGGAUCAGCUACCGGCUCAGUUCAGCAGAUGGGCAGAGUAGCUGGCUGGGAUCUCUGCUUGGGCACAGCUGCAAGCAAGAACAGUCCUCCAGAUCUGAGCACUGGUUGCCGAAAGCCCUGCUCCCCUGCUCCUGCGUGAUCCCCAGUGGUUGAGCCGACCCCUUCCUCCCACCAUGGUCGUCAAGAGGAACUCUCCCUGGGCUCUCUGUUGAAGUUGAGUCUGUACUUCUCUGCUGGUUUAUUGCCUUACGUCUACCUUCCUGUCUCAUCCUACCUCAAUCAAGCCCGUUGGACCUGGGGAGACCAGACAACGUUGCUAGGAUUUUUGACGCAUUUGCUCAGGGCAGAAUAUGGAACAUUCAGUCUGGCCAAAUCUGAAACAGGAUCCAGUAUGUCUAAAAUUUUGCUUUCUCAAGUAACAAGUAUGAGGACCCAACUCUCACUCAACAUUCAAGCCCUUGCAGUUUGGGCAAAUAUAUGUUUAGCAAGAAAGGACAGACAGAAUCCAUCAUUGGUAUGGCUUUUUACUGGAAUGUUUUGCAUUUAUUCAUUGUUCUUUGCUUGGAGGGCGAAUUUAGAUAUUUCAAAACCACUUUUCAUGGGUGUGGUGGAGAGAUUCUGGAUGCAGAGCAACGCGGUGGUGGCCGUCCUCGCUGGCCUCGGUUUGGCAACGCUGGCUUCUGAGAGUAACCGAGUGCUGAACACCAGUGGGCUUCAGUGUCUGGAAUGGCUUUCAGCAACUCUUUUUAUAAUUUACCAAAUAUAUUCUAAUUUCAGGUAACACAUGCUUAUUUUUAUGAAAAGUAGCACUCAAGCAAGAAACACUUAGAUAUUUAGAGUCUUGGGCUUUAUUUCACCUUUAACCUCCCCUGGUUUUCAGAGUGAGACAGCUGAGUCUGAAUGCAGCGCUGCUUAAACUUUUGAACAGAAUCUCAGCAUGAGCGAUGUGUGGUUUCAGGGCAUUGCAAACAAGGGCUUGGGUGGGACACAUAAACUAUUUGUAUAUUUUCCUCUAAGGAACCCUAGAGAUACUUGGUAGGAUCUGGAGGAUGUAAUAAAAGUCCAUGAUCUAAAAUACCACUUAGAUGGAGAGUAAAGACAUUUGGGCCUUUUUGUAUGUCCUAAAAUAAUUCUCCUUUAUGCUUUGAGGAUUUCAUCUUUUGAGUGACACCUGGCCCUUAUCUAGUUCCCUCCAUAGCAGUGAAUAUUAAUUAUUUUGAAAUAAUUAAAGUUCUAAAGGUUUCUUAACGCUUAUGCAUUAUGAGUAUUAUAUAUAUUUUUCAAAAUCUGUUGAAUAACCUUGCCAAUGAAAAUCUCAGUCUGGCAUAAAACAUGUCCAAGUUUUAGAUGAUAGUUCAUUCAUUUCCUGCAGUAUUGAGUAAACAUUACAGCAGCGGAAGAGUCCCCUGGAGUUUCACUGUAGUGAGAUUUUAUUGGUAUUUUAAAAGGUUCAAUACCCCCCAUUUUUUUUAAGAUUUUUUAAUUUAUUUGAGGGAGAAAGA